rnacentral:tRNA from 1 species
GGAAGAGCAUCGCCACCCGGUGGGGCGCCCGGUCUUCAAAACCGGUGGGACGGUCACAAGCCGUCCGGGAGGUUCGACUCCUCCCUCUUUCGCCA